CUGCAGUGUGUGCAAACCUGGUCAAUAACUACAGGAAACGUAUGAUCUCUGUAAUUGCAAACAAAGGUUUCUGUACAAUAUAUUAAGUUAUGCUUUUCUGAUGUAUCAAAUACUUGUCAUGCAAUAAAAUGCUAAUUAUUUACUUAAAAAUCAUAUAAUGUGAUUUUCUGGAUUUUUGUUUUAGAUUCCGUCACUCACAGUUGAAGAGUACCUAUGAUAUAAAUUACAGACUUCUACAUGCUUUGUAAGUGGAAAAAACUGCAAAGUCGGCAGUGUGUCAAAUACAUGUUCUCCCCACUGUACAUUUGUGGGUUCGAUUACAGGCUCAAAAUAUCCAGAAACAAUCAGUCUAUUCUUGUUCUGAGAAAUGAACAAUAUUCCAAGAAAUUGACAAGAAACUGAAGAUCUUGUACAACCAGGCCCAGUGCAAGAACUAAGUGACUGAGGGGGCAGAAAAUAAUGGCGAGUGGGCUAAUCUUUUUUUAGGCAAUUUUUCUAUAAAAUGUAAUCAGAAAAUGCAACUGAGGGGGCUAAGGCCCCUCUUGCCCCCUCGUGGCGUUAGCCCUGUGUACAACGAUGUGUUCCAUCUCCUUCACAGAACAGCACAAACUGUCUCUAAAACAUUAACAGUGUCUACUCUGUAUUUCUGAUAAAUCUUAUGUUAUUUUAAUGGACAAAAAAUGCUUUCUAAGUGACCCCAAACUUUUGAACAGCAGUGUAUAAAAAGCAGUAAAUAUUCUUAUUGAGAGGAAAGAGAAAAAUCUGGGAAAUGAAUAAAUGACAUGCUGUGCUCAUUUACACAGGGAUCAUGUAAAUAGUUUCUAAAGCCAAAUGAAUGAAAAGCCUGUUAUGUGGACUGUUAAAUGCGCAAUGUCAUUUCAACAGCUGGAUCCUGCUACUUGAGCUGAUGGAUAUUUUAAAGCUCUACUAUGCUAAAAGAAAAUAUAGUAACAAUUUCUAAUAUUAGGGUACAUAGUACUGUAAGCUAAUAUGACACUAUUAUAUGUUACCAAUUACAUUGACCAUUGGAAAUCAACAAAUCAGACAGAUUGUCAACAAUUGGCAAAACAUGUACACACAAGCACAUUUUAGAGUGACCUGGCGGUUUUGACGAUGUCACCAUUGUGGUGUCACUGUUCCUACAAAGGAAUGAGGAUCUGUAAUGUGUGUAUUGAUUGUGCUUUUAGAGUCUUUAACAUAUGUAUAGAAUGCACAGAAUGCAUCCAAAACCAACAAAGUCCUUUUUUCGGACAAAUAAAGAAAAAUAUUUAAAAAAAUAUUUUAAUUCAUCAUAGUUUUUGCUGAAAAACUAUUCAUAAAAUCUCAUCUCUAUCUGCUUAUCCGGUAUCGGGUCGCGGGGGCAGCAGCUCCACGACUCAUAAAAUACAACACAAAUUACAUAAUCGGAGGUCCAAGCUGUCAAAUAUUGUAUAAAAGCAGAGUACGCAGAUAAGCCUGGGGAUUCCCAAAUUACAUUGACAAGUAAAGGUGCAGUAGGCUAUUAAUUGUGCAUACCUUGAAGAGUGCUUAACUUCAAAUAAAAUGUAUUUCAAUUGACGUGGCUUGAAAUAAUGCAUUAAGAUUAAACACAAUUUGUGGUGAGACUGGGGGUGCAAUGUUUCAGUAUUACGUGCUCUUAUUUUCUGUUGUUUUUUAUUAAGUGUCA
ensembl:lncRNA